UGUCUUAAAAGGACUAGUAUGAACGGCCCAACGAAGGCUGCACUGUCUCCUUUCCCCCAUCAAUGAACCUGAUUUCCCCGUGAAGAAGCGAGGAUAAACCUAUAAGACGAAAAGACCCUAUGGAGCUUCAGAUGAAAUAUUACAUGCCCCAAAAUUAACAUACCUACAUAUUCAUCUUCGGUUGGGGUGACCACGGAGAAAAACAAACCCUCCACGACAAACAAGCCUAAACACACAACUUAAAAGCACCAAUAAUUUAACACUUGACCCAAUUACAAUUGAUCAACGAACCAAGUUACCCUAGGGAUAACAGCGCAAUCCAUUUCAAGAGCCCAUAUCAACAAAUGGGUUUACGACCUCGAUGUUGGAUCAGGGUAUCCUAGUGGUGCAACCGCUACUAAAGGUUCGUUUGUU
rnacentral:rRNA from 1 species